GAGAAACGGCUCAGUAGUAAGAGCUCUGGCUCUUCUACCAGAGAACCUGGGUUCAAUUCCCAGUACUCA
rnacentral:tRNA from 1 species